rnacentral:rRNA from 1 species
CAGCCGCCGCGGGAAUACAGAGGGUGCGAGCGUUAAUCGGAUUUACUGGGCGUAAAGCGUGCGUAGGCGGCUUCUUAAGUCGGAUGUGAAAUCCCUGAGCUUAACUUAGGAAUUGCAUUCGAUACUGGGAAGCUAGAGUAUGGGAGAGGAUGGUAGAAUUCCAGGUGUAGCGGUGAAAUGCGUAGAGAUCUGGAGGAAUACCGAUGGCGAAGGCAGCCAUCUGGCCUAAUACUGACGCUGAGGUACGAAAGCAUGGGGAGCAAACAGGAUUAGAUACCCCCGUAGUCCCUGUCUCUUAACA